rnacentral:rRNA from 1 species
UACGAGGGGAGCUAGCGUUGUUCGGAAUUACUGGGCGUAAAGCGCGCGUAGGCGGCUUUUUAAGUCAGAGGUGAAAGCCCGGGGCUCAACCCCGGAAUAGCCUUUGAAACUGGAAAGCUAGAAUCUUGGAGAGGUCAGUGGAAUUCCGAGUGUAGAGGUGAAAUUCGUAGAUAUUCGGAAGAACACCAGUGGCGAAGGCGACUGACUGGACAAGUAUUGACGCUGAGGUGCGAAAGCGUGGGGAGCAAAC